rnacentral:piRNA from 1 species
UUUAAAGAGAAACAGUGCCUCAUUUCUGUGU